AGAUUGAACGCUGGCGGCAGGCCUAACACAUGCAAGUCGAGCGGCAGCACGGGUACUUGUACCUGGUGGCGAGCGGCGGACGGGUGAGUAAUGCCUAGGAAUCUGCCUGGUAGUGGGGGAUAACGCUCGGAAACGGACGCUAAUACCGCAUACGUCCUACGGGAGAAAGCAGGGGACCUUCGGGCCUUGCGCUAUCAGAUGAGCCUAGGUCGGAUUAGCUAGUUGGUGGGUAAUGGCUCACCAAGGCGACGAUCCGUAACUGGUACUGAGAGGAUGAUCAGUCACACUGGAACUGAGACACGGUCCAGACUCCGU
rnacentral:rRNA from 1 species